rnacentral:snRNA from 1 species
AAAUGUGAGAGAAAUGUGGCUGUGACAUCUGUCUCCGUAUUGGUUACCAGAACUGGUUCAUCUGAUCUGGUUGCCUAGGCUAGGUGUCUACUUCUGCUCCCCUAGAUCCAUACACAUCCUGCCAAAAUCUCCACACUCAGUACAAGAAGAUGAAAGUUUCUUGAUGAUGACGGUUCUGUCAUUUAGGGAAUAAAAAUAGCUCCACAACCUGUGCCUCAACCUCCAAACAAAAUGCAGUUAUUGUAACUCUUUAGUAAAGUAAUUGUUUAGUAAGCAUAAAAUAGCUCUUUUUCAUUUCAACAAUUUCUUAUGAAGAACUCUAUGCUGUU